ACAAAGACUUUGACUAGAAAUAGUAGGUAUAUGAAGUUAAUCAGAGAGUGGCUGGCUGGUGAGAAGCACAUUACAGAUUAUAUCGAACACAUCUAUGAGUUGGAUACCGAAGUUUUAGUAGGCUAUCACGUGAACACACGUUACAGUGUUAGGGUAUUAUAUAGUACUCGAUGAGGUUGCUAUUGCGAGAUAGUAACGAAUAGAGGUGGGAACACGAAGUAUUGGAUUUUAUACUCUCGUCCUCUGG
rnacentral:ncRNA from 1 species